UGUGGGAGCGAGCUUGCUCGCGAUAGCGUCUACCUGUUUGCUAUUGAUUUGACUGGAAAACUGCUAUCGCGAGCAAGCUCGCUCCCACA
rnacentral:misc_RNA from 1 species